rnacentral:rRNA from 1 species
GGAUCCAGACUUUGAUUCUGGCUCAGGAUGAACGCUAGCUACAGGCCUAACACAUGCAAGUCGAGGGGAAACGGCAGCUUAGCUUGCUAAGCUGGACGUCGACCGGCGCACGGGUGAGUAACGCGUAUCCAACCUGCCCCACGGUGAGGGAUAACCCGCGGAAACGCGGCCUAAUACCUCAUGGUCUCCGAGCUUGCCAUCAACCUUGGAGUAAAGAUUCAUUGCCGUGGGAUGGGGAUGCGUCUGAUUAGCUUGUUGGCGGGGCAACGGCCCACCAAGGCAACGAUCAGUAGGGGUUCUGAGAGGAAAGCCCCCCACAUUGGAACUGAGACACGGUCCAAACUCCUACGGGAGGCAGCAGUGAGGAAUAUUGGUCAAUGGGCGAGAGCCUGAACCAGCCAAGUAGCGUGCAGGAAGACGGCCCUAUGGGUUGUAAACUGCUUUUAUGCGGGGAUAAAGCGGGCGACGUGUCGCCCUUUGCAGGUACCGCAUGAAUAAGGACCGGCUAAUUCCGUGCCAGCAGCCGCGGUAAUACGGAAGGUCCGGGCGUUAUCCGGAUUUAUUGGGUUUAAAGGGAGCGCAGGCCGGGAAUUAAGCGUGUUGUGAAAUGUAGGCGCCCAACGUCUGCACCGCAGCGCGAACUGGUGCCCUUGAGUACGCACGACGUUGGCGGAAUUCGCCGUGUAGCGGUGAAAUGCUUAGAUAUGGCGAAGAACUCCGAUUGCGAAGGCAGCUGACGGGAGCGCUACUGACGCUCAUGCUCGAAAGCGCGGGUAUCGAACAGGAUUAGAUACCCUGGUAGUCCGCGCGGUAAACGAUGGAUGCCCGCUAUUUGCGCAUUAGCGCAAGUGGCCAAGUGAAAACGUUAAGCAUCCCACCUGGGGAGUACGCCGGCAACGGUGCAACUCAAAGGAAUUGACGG